rnacentral:rRNA from 1 species
ACAAGUAGUCAGAGCCCGUUAAUGGGUGAUGGCGUGCCUUUUGUAGAAUGAACCGGCGAGUUACGAUUUGAUGCAAGGUUAAGCAGUAAAUGUGGAGCCGUAGCGAAAGCGAGUCUGAAUAGGGCGUUUAGUAUUUGGUCGUAGACCCGAAACCAGGUGAUCUACCCUUGGUCAGGUUGAAGUUCAGGUAACACUGAAUGGAGGACCGAACCGACUUACGUUGAAAAGUGAGCGGAUGAACUGAGGGUAGCGGAGAAAUUCCAAUCGAACCUGGAGAUAGCUGGUUCUCUCCGAAAUAGCUUUAGGGCUAGCCUCAAGUGAUGAUUAUUGGAGGUAGAGCACUGUUUGGACGAGGGGCCCCUCUCGGGUUACCGAAUUCAGACAAACUCCGAAUGCCAAUUAAUUUAACUUGGGAGUCAGAACAUGGGUGAUAAGGUCCGUGUUCGAAAGGGAAACAGCCCAGACCACCAGCUAAGGUCCCAAAAUAUAUGUUAAGUGGAAAAGGAUGUGGCGUUGCCCAGACAACUAGGAUGUUGGCUUAGAAGCAGCCAUCAUUUAAAGAGUGCGUAAUAGCUCACUAGUCGAGUGACACUGCGCCGAAAAUGUACCGGGGCUAAACAUAUUACCGAAGCUGUGGAUUGUCCUUUGGACAAUGGUAGGAGAGCGUUCUAAGGGCGUUGAAGCAUGAUCGUAAGGACAUGUGGAGCGCUUAGAAGUGAGAAUGC